rnacentral:rRNA from 1 species
GACGAACGCUGGCGGCGUGCCUAAUACAUGCAAGUCGAACGCAUUUUCUUUCACCGUAGUUUGCUACACCGAAAGAAAAUGAGAGGCGAACGGGAGAGUAACCCGUGGGUAACCUGCCCAUCAGCGGGGGAUAACAAUUGGCAAAAGGUGCUCAUACCGCCUAAUUCCAUUUACCGCAUGGUAGAUAGAUGUGAGGGGCUUUUGCGUCACUGAUGGAUUGACCCGCGGUGCGUUUGCUAGUUGGUGGGGUAACGGGCUACCAAGGCUGCGAUGCAUAGCCCACCUGGGAGGGUGGUCGGCCACACUGGGACUGGGACAGCGCCCAGGCUCCUGCGGGACGCAGCAGUAGGGAAUCUUCGGCAAUGGACGGGAAUCUGGCCCAACAGGGCCACGUGUGUUGAGGAGGUGUUCCGAUCGUAAAGCUCUGUUGUUGGAGGAAAACAAGUAUCAGCAUGGGAAAUUAUUGCCUUGACGGUAUCUAACCAAGAAGCAACGGCUAACUACGUG